rnacentral:lncRNA from 1 species
UGAAUUCUAAAUCUUAUAUUUUUUUCUCAAAAUAAUUCAUAUUAACGAAAAUUUAUCAUAAAUAUUUUUUUAAUAUUAAAAACAAAAUAGAAUAAGUAAUCAAUGGUGUUAAAAAAAGAAUAGGAAAACAAAUACAUAACAUCUGAUUGGUCAAUAGAAAGUAGCCUAUCACAUAGAAGGGUGAGGAUCAUGCUUUGUGUAACCACAACCAUUGAUAAAAAUGAAUCUAACGGACCACAAUGCACUAAGAUAAAAAAAAUACACUUUUUCUUCUCAUCUCUUUCUUUCUUCCUCUCCUCUGACUUCUUCGUAUCCUCUAAUCUAUCUCUCAAUAUGCCUCCUCCGUGAAUCUAAACUGUCUCAACAGCCAACACCAUCACCUCCGACAGAAGUAUCUCAAUUUCCACCUCCUCGUUCUCCACUUCUUUACCUGAUUACUCUUUUUAUUUUUUCUAUUCUCAAAGUUUUCCUUUUUUCAGAUGCAGAUUUAAAACAAGAAGAAGAUAGGAAACAGAUCGGGAGGGAGGAGUCUGAAGAAGCUUGACAGCAGAGGAGGUAGAAGAAUCGUGAUGGUGGAGGAAUUAAAAGCCUGACGGCGGAGAAGGCAUGGCCAGCAUAUAAGUUCGUCGCUCAGCCGUAACACCGGUGGCUCUACCACCAGAUUGAGUCUUCGCUUCAGCCAUGGCAUUCGGAGCCGGUGGAGGUGGAGGUGGAGGUGUAAAAACCUGAUGGAGUUGACGAAGUCUCAUGGAGGAGAGGAUGCGGCUGGAUUCUUCUUUUCUGUUUUUAGGUUUAGCUUUUUUUAUUUGGUUUAGUUUAAACCGAGUUGGAAUUGUAGUGGUUUGACUUUAGCUUUUAAUUUCUGGUUUAAUUUUGUAAACCGGAAUUUAUUUGUAAACCAAUCUUAAUUCAUAAAUAAAAUUUAUUUUAUUUUUAAUUAUAAAACAG